rnacentral:rRNA from 1 species
CACUCCUGCGGGAGGCAGCAGUGGGGAAUAUUGCACAAUGGGCGCAAGCCUGAUGCAGCGACGCCGCGUGGGGGAUGAAGGCCUUCGGGUUGUAAACUCCUUUCGCUAGGGACGAAGCUUUUUUGUGACGGUACCUAGAUAAGAAGCACCGGCUAACUACGUGCCAGCAGCCGCGGUAAUACGUAGGGUGCGAGCGUUGUCCGGAAUUACUGGGCGUAAAGGGCUCGUAGGUGGUUUGUCGCGUCGUCUGUGAAAUUCUGGGGCUUAACUCCGGGCGUGCAGGCGAUACGGGCAUAACUUGAGUGCUGUAGGGGUAACUGGAAUUCCUGGUGUAGCGGUGAAAUGCGCAGAUAUCAGGAGGAACACCGAUGGCGAAGGCAGGUUACUGGGCAGUUACUGACGCUGAGGAGCGAAAGCAUGGGUAGCGAACAGGAUUAGAAACCCCUGUAGUCCCAUGAU